GUAAUGGUGUCUUUAGACACCACUGAUAUUUUUCGAAGUUAUUUCU
rfam:Picea glauca, whole genome shotgun sequence.